rnacentral:rRNA from 1 species
AUUGAACGCUCGCGGGAUGCCUUACACAUGCAAGUCGAACGGCAGCACGGACUUCGGUCUGGUGGCGAGUGGCGAACGGGUGAGUAAUGUAUCGGAACGUGCCCAGUAGCGGGGGAUAACUACGCGAAAGCGUAGCUAAUACCGCAUACGCCCUACGGGGGAAAGCAGGGGAUCGCAAGACCUUGCACUAUUGGAGCGGCCGAUAUCGGAUUAGCUAGUUGGUGGGGUAACGGCUCACCAAGGCGACGAUCCGUAGCUGGUUUGAGAGGACGACCAGCCACACUGGGACUGAGACACGGCCCAGACUCCUACGGGAGGCAGCAGUGGGGAAUUUUGGACAAUGGGGGAAACCCUGAUCCAGCCAUCCCGCGUGUGCGAUGAAGGCCUUCGGGUUGUAAAGCACUUUUGGCAGGAAAGAAACGUCGCGGGUUAAUACCCCGCGAAACUGACGGUACCUGCAGAAUAAGCACCGGCUAACUACGUG